rnacentral:rRNA from 1 species
GACGAACGCUGGCGGCGUGCUUAACACAUGCAAGUCGAGCGGUAAGGCCCUUUCGGGGGUACACGAGCGGCGAACGGGUGAGUAACACGUGGGUGACCUGCCCUCAGCUCUGGGAUAAGCCUGGGAAACUGGGUCUAAUACUGGAUAUGACUCCACGGUGCAUGUCGUGGGGUGGAAAGCCUUGUGCGGCUGAGGAUGGGCCCGCGGCCUAUCGGCUUGUUGGUGGGGUGAUGGCCUACCAAGGCGACGACGGGUAGCCGGCCUGAGAGGGCGACCGGCCACACUGGGACUGAGACACGGCCCAGACUCCUACGGGAGGCAGCAGUGGGGAAUCUUGCGCAAUGGGCGAAAGCCUGACGCAGCGACGCCGCGUGAGGGAUGACGGCCUGG